GGUAGAAGUCUUCGGGCUUUGAGACCGGCGCACGGGUGCGUAACGCGUAUGCAAUCUGCCUUUCACAGAGGGAUAGCCCAGAGAAAUUUGGAUUAAUACCUCAUAGCAUUACAGGAUGGCAUCAUCCUGCAAUUAAAGUCACAACGGUGAAAGAUGAGCAUGCGUCCCAUUAGCUAGUUGGUAAGGUAACGGCUUACCAAGGCGACGAUGGGUAGGGGUCCUGAGAGGGAGAUCCCCCACACUGGUACUGAGACACGGACCAGACUCCUACGGGAGGCAGCAGUGAGGAAUAUUGGUCAAUGGACGCAAGUCUGAACCAGCCAUGCCGCGUGCAGGAUGACGGUCCUAUGGAUUGUAAACUGCUUUUGCACAGGAAGAAACACUCCGACGUGUCGGAGCUUGACGGUACUGUGAGAAUAAGGAUCGGCUAACUCCGUGCCAGCAGCCGCGGUAAUACGGAGGAUCCAAGCGUUAUCCGGAAUCAUUGGGUUUAAAGGGUCCGUAGGCGGUCUUGUAAGUCAGUGGUGAAAGCCCAUCGCUCAACGGUGGAACGGCCAUUGAUACUGCAGGACUUGAAUUAUUGGGAAGUAACUAGAAUAUGUAGUGUAGCGGUGAAAUGCUUAGAGAUUACAUGGAAUACCAAUUGCGAAGGCAGGUUACUACCAAUUUAUUGACGCUGAUGGACGAAAGCGUGGGUAGCGAACAGGAUUAGAUACCCUGGUAGUCCACGCCGUAAACGAUGGAUACUAGCUGUUGGGAGCAAUCUCAGUGGCUAAGCGAAAGUGAUAAGUAUCCCACCUGGGGAGUACGAACGCAAGUUUGAAACUCAAAGGAAUUGACGGGGGCCCGCACAAGCGGUGGAGCAUGUGGUUUAAUUCGAUGAUACGCGAGGAACCUUACCAAGGCUUAAAUGCAGACUGACCGAUUUGGAAACAGAUCUUUCGCAAGACAGUUUACAAGGUGCUGCAUGGUUGUCGUCAGCUCGUGCCGUGAGGUGUCAGGUUAAGUCCUAUAACGAGCGCACCCCUGUUGUUAGUUGCCAGCSARUCAAGUCGGGAAYNCUAACAAGACUGCCAGUGUAACUGKGAGGAGGUGGGGAUGACGUCAAAUCA
rnacentral:rRNA from 1 species